rnacentral:rRNA from 1 species
AGCAGUGGGGAAUAUUGCACAAUGGGCGGAAGCCUGAUGCAGCGACGCCGCGUGGGGGAUGACGGCCUUCGGGUUGUAAACUCCUUUCACCAUCGACGAAGGUUUUCUGACGGUAGAUGGAGAAGAAGCACCGGCUAACUACGUGCCAGCAGCCGCGGUAAUACGUAGGGUGCGAGCGUUGUCCGGAAUUACUGGGCGUAAAGAGCUCGUAGGUGGUUUGUCGCGUCGUCUGUGAAAUUCCGGGGCUUAACUCCGGGCGUGCAGGCGAUACGGGCAUAACUUGAGUACUGUAGGGGAGACUGGAAUUCCUGGUGUAGCGGUGAAAUGCGCAGAUAUCAGGAGGAACACCGGUGGCGAAGGCGGGUCUCUGGGCAGUAACUGACGCUGAGGAGCGAAAGCGUGGGUAGCGAACAGGAUUAGAUACCCUGGUAGUCCAUGCCGUAAACGGUGGGCGCUAGGUGUAGGGGUCUUCCACGACUUCUGUGCUGUAGCUAACGCAUUAAGCGCCCCGCCUGGGGGGUACGGCCGCAAGGCU